rnacentral:tRNA from 1 species
UCCUGAGUAGCUCAGUCGGUAGAGCAGGUGACUGUUAAUCACCGGGUCGCAGGUUCGAGUCCUGCCUCAGGAGCCA